rnacentral:rRNA from 1 species
AGUGAACGCUGGCGGUAGGCCUAACACAUGCAAGUCGAACGGCAGCACAGUAAGAUCUUGCUCUUACGGGUGGCGAGUGGCGGGCGGGUGAGGAAUACAUCGGAAUCUACUUUUUCGUGGGGGAUAACGUAGGGAAACUUACGCUAAUACCGCAUACGACCUACGGGUGAAAGCAGGGGAUCUUCGGACCUUGCGCGAUUGAAUGAGCCGAUGUCGGAUUAGCUAGUUGGCGGGGUAAAGGCCCACCAAGGCGACGAUCCGUAGCUGGUCUGAGAGGAUGAUCCGCCACACUGGAACUGAGACACGGUCCAGACUCCUACGGGAGGCAGCAGUGGGGAAUAUUGGACAAUGGGCGCAAGCCUGAUCCAGCCAUACCGCGUGGGUGAAGAAGGCCUUCGGGUUGUAAAGCCCUUUUGUUGGGAAAGAAAAGCAGCAGGUUAAUACCCCGCUGUUCUGACGGUACCCAAAGAGUAAGCACCGGCUAACUUCGUG